UUAUUCCAAGAGAUGGGCUAAGUUUGUCCAAGCUAAAAGACCUAAGGCCCAAGUAUGAUUAAUGGACUUGAAGAAUUGUAAGAAAGCCCACGCCUGAGGAGGAGGCCACAUGCAUGCCGAACAAGUGACCUAACUCAUACAACCCACAAACAUGCACACGUUCCCGCACGGACCGCAAACAUGAGCGCCAAGGAGCAUCCACACACGCGACCAUCUCUCUAGGCUCGUGUGGAAUAAAACACACGCACCUCGUGCAGAUGGGCCCGCAAAGGCCCAAACGGUCCAAGCCCAGCCCGUAACUCUCGCAGGCAUUCUCUC
rnacentral:lncRNA from 1 species